GUAAAUCUGGCAACAAAUGGGAGAUCUAAUUAUGAAUUUGAUCACAUGAUUAUAUAGCUAUGACGUUAAGGAACCUGUAUGACUUUACAAAAUCGAAUUCGGGCUAGUAGAACCCCCGAAACUGAUCUUAGCAUGACCGAGUACUUUCUGAGUGUCAUGAGAAGAAGGUGUGUUGUGAAAUGGGGGUAACUCUUAAAUUUUCUCACUGUUUCCGUGCAAGCCACUAAGGCGGGAUUUUCCCGCCAAGAUGGGGCCGCUGUAACGGUGUGAGGACCGCUGUGGCGGGACAGACACGACUUAAGUCGGAAAUAAACCCCAAAAAUAUUUUAUUCUGCAAUUUUCGACCUUGAGAGCUAAGGAACGACCCAAGGGUAUUUCUCGAAGGUUU
rnacentral:lncRNA from 1 species